GACGAACGCUGGCGGCGUGCCUAACACAUGCAAGUCGAACGGGGUGAUUCCUUCGGGGAUCACUUAGUGGCGAACGGGUGAGUAACGCGUGAGGAACCUGCCUCUCAGUGGGGGACAACAGUUGGAAACGACUGCUAAUACCGCAUAAUGUAGCGAGACCGCAUGAUCUUGCUACCAAAGCUUUAUGUGCUGAGAGAUGGCCUCGCGUCUGAUUAGCUAGUUGGUGGGGUAACGGCCCACCAAGGCGACGAUCAGUAGCCGGUCUGAGAGGAUGAACGGCCACAUUGGGACUGAGAUACGGCCCAG
rnacentral:rRNA from 1 species